rnacentral:lncRNA from 1 species
GGCCCGGCCGCGCGGGCCCUGGGACGGGCGGCGAGGCGAAGGAGGGCCGGGCCCAGUACCCGCCGCCGGCCACGGGUCCCGCUCCGGGGAUGGCGGAAAGGGCAGAGACAGUGCAAGUGCUUAAAAAAAAGGUUAUAGCGUGUCCUGUGGGAACCGAAGAGUUUAAUAACUUAAAAAGAACAGGAUUCUCACAGCCCCACGGGAGGACUUUUUCUCGGCCAUCCGGAGUCACUCUGCUAGGAGUGAGGAGGAGGAGGAAGAAGCGGACACUGCCAGUUCACACGCCUGCAGCACCCAGGAUCUCGGCAGCGCGGGGCUACUGCCUUGUUUAAGGAACAGAUUUCAGUGAGAGUGUCAAAAGUCUUGUGCCAUCAUUCUUCCGUGCUGCUGACCAUGUUCUGUGACAUCAGCCCUGAACUCCUGAGUGUGCUGGAGUCAAACUACUCUAUUAAGUUACAUGCUUGCCUGUAUUGAACUAAAUUUAAUUCCUUUCCUCUCUUACCCAAUGAAAUUAUGUGGUGCAGUGUAAGAUAGGAUUAGAAGUAUAUCAUUAUAGCAAUUAAUACUAUAAUGCCUUCAUGAUUAGUGUGCUACAUUGAAUUUCAUGGAUUUUUGCUCACUCUUGCCUAGAUUUCCCUUGGGUCCUCUAGCCCAAACCAUUGUAUUCUUAGUAAAUUAAAUGUGAAAUCACCGCAAUAUACUUAAUAAAUCCUCUAUCACCUGUAUGGUGUAUUAAUAA